rnacentral:tRNA from 1 species
GCCCCUGUAGCUCAAGGGAUAGAGCACCAGUCUUCGGAACUGGCCGUGUGGGUUCGAGUCCCGCCAGGGGCG